GACGAACGCUGGCGGCGUGCUUAACACAUGCAAGUCGAACGGAGUGGCGAACGGGUGAGUAACACGUGCGUGACCUGCCCUGCACUUCGGGAUAAUCCUGGGGAACUGGGUCUAAUACCGGAUAGUGUGGGAUGGGCCCGGGGCCGAUCAGCUUGUUGGUGGGGUCAUGGCCUACCACGGCGGCGACGGGUAGCCGGCCUGCGAGGGUUGACGGCCAAAGUGGGACUGAGACAGGGACCAGACGCAUACGGUGGGCAGUAGGGGGGAAUAUUGCACAAUGGGCGGAAGCCUUAUGCAGAGACGCCGCGGGGGGGAUGACGGCCUUCUGGUUGUAAACUCCUUUCACCUUCGAGGCGGUAGAUGGAGAAGAAGCACCGGCUAACUACGUGCCAGCAGCCGCGGUAAUAC
rnacentral:rRNA from 1 species